UAAGUUUUCAUUUAUUGUAUGAUACAGCAGUUUAUACAGAAUUGAUUGAUAUAUAUUUUACAGUAUAAUACAUGAUUCAAGUAGUACAUGAAUGUGAUUCCAUACUUGCAGGAAGGAAAUACAAAAGCAUUUCAUCAUGUGUCAUGGCAUCCAAAUGGACCGAGGAUAGACCUUGUAGAUGUUUCUAAAUGCACUCAUUCAUACAUUCAUUCCUCACAUAUUGAUGAUCCAUCACCGCAAAAAGAUUUUAGAAAUGAUACUGCAUAGACAGGCUAAAUCUGAAGCUGAUGGGGGUUGGGAGUUGUUUACAUAGAAUCUUACAUUAGAUUUUACACACGUUAAACACAAAAGCACAAGAAAAAAGAAAAAUGAAAUCGCAACAUUAGAGUCAACACAAUACUUUUUAUGUGAAUUUGCACAAAAAUGUUGCAACUUAUGAAAACAUUGGAGUAAAAAAGUUGAAUGGUUAAUAAAAUUAACAUGUGAUAUAAUUUUUUAUUCUCCAGGAGCUGGAAACUACUAUCUUAAUCUAAUGUUUAUGAGGAAACCAGAGCCAGUCCUCUGAGCAGGAAACACUUCUAACAACUUUACACCUGUGCAAAAUUGAGAGCAUGAUGAUGUUCAGCUGAAAGUUACAGCAGUUAUCAAAAAAUAUUAACAUUACGCCUUAUCUGACUAUAUUUCUUUCUUUUACUUUUACAGUGAAAGAAAAUGGAAGUGUUCAUAGAAGUUUACAGUACUUCGAUUAAGACGCUGCAUGAUGAACAUUACGUGAAAAAUAAAAUAUCUCAAUAAAUCUAGAGGUGAAUGUGGGCAGCUGAAAAUAGCACAUCAUCAAAACUACUAAUGAAGUGAUAAACCUCAAUGUGUACUUAAAUGAUCAUUUAAAUUAUAUGACCCGCAGAGAUCGUGUGUUGUGGCGUCGUGCAGUUCAGCAACUGACAAUCCUCACUGGGAUCAAAAAAAAAAAGCACAAACUGGAUAGCAUUCAAACUCUCACUGAACCACAUUACAGAAAAGUUACCAAGACUUUUUUUCUGUUAUUAUUUCAUUGUUUAUUUUUUCAGUAUUUUUUUUUUUUUACUUUCAGUAUUUUUGCACAUGAAAACACAUGCUGUGUCCCAACACCAGACUAUAUUACAAUUACAUGCAGUCUGAGUAUUUUGAAAACAGAAGCCAAAACGUUAAUAAUAUGAAAGCAAAAACAAUCAUGGAAUUAUUGUGUACACUAAUAAUGCAAAGCCGAAAAGAAAUGACAGAGCAGCUCACAGUCCACGAUUAAAAAAAAAAAUCAUGUAGCCAUACAAUUCAUUUCAUCACUUACUGCAAAGACAUUACACAGCAUCAAGUGGGAUAUCUAUUAAACACUAUUUAGUAUGGAAUUGGGACACAGCUACACAUUCUUAAUGUUUCUGAAAUGAGGUUAAAAGUUGUAGCAUUUGAACAGAAAUUUGUCUACUUUGAGCUUUCCAUGUGAAAUAAAAUGCUUCAGCUCAAAUCUGCAAAUAUCUGCAGAAAAAUCCAACAUGCUCAUUUUCCUUGUGCAAAAUCAUUCCCAGAUUUUGCACGAUGAACACAGAUAAGUAUCAUGUGUGUAGUAUCAACAUCUUAAUAUUAUUAUUAUUUAGAAUGUGGGGGAAAGAGUCCUGAACCAAAAUACUGCUAUAAUUUACUUCCAUUUAUAUAGAGAGUACAUGAAUUGUUUUACAUCAAGAGAGAGAAACCCAGAGAUACUCAUAAAUGUAGAACACCCUUUUUCUUUUUUUUUAAAAUAAAUGAUAAUUUCCAAAAAAAAAAAAAAAAUCAGUUAAACAAGUAAAACACAACACUAAUCCUGAGUCCAUCACCUGGUGUUAAGACUGCAAGCCCUCACAUGCUCAUCAACUACUGAGUUUCAGACAUGACACUGACCUGAUUAUGACAUUUCUGUGCAGCAAAAUCAUCCAGAUUUGCUCAAAAUACUGGACUAAUCUCUCUAAAGGUGUGCAUGUAAAGGCAGACAGAAUGGAAAAAAGUCACACAUUGAUAUGCUCGGUAUAUGAAAACAAA